CCCUUAGAUGUUCUGGGCCGCACGCGUGCUGCACUGAGUGGAUCAGCGGGUCAGGUUGCGCGAAAGUGUUUCCUAAUCUUGAAAUCCGCUCGUGAUGGGGAUUGACGGUUGCAAUUUUCCGUCAUGAACGAGGAAUACCUUGUAAGCGCGGGUCAUCAUCCCGCGCUGAAUACGUCCCUGCCCUUUGUACACACCGCCCGUCGCUCCUACCGAUUGAGUGGUCCGGUGAGGCUUUGGGAUCUGAGCGGAAAGAGCGUUUCGCUGUUUCUGCUCGGAAAACUCAGUCGAACCUUAUCAUUUAGAGGAAGGAGGAGUCGUAACA
rnacentral:rRNA from 1 species